rnacentral:rRNA from 1 species
CGUAGGGUGCGAGCGUUGUCCGGAAUUAUUGGGCGUAAAGGGCUCGUAGGCGGUUUGUCGCGUCGGGAGUGAAACCAGGUGCUUAACACCUGGCUUGCUUUCGAUACGGGCAGACUAGAGGUAUUCAGGGGAGAACGGAAUUCCUGGUGUAGCGGUGAAAUGCGCAGAUAUCAGGAGGAACACCGGUGGCGAAGGCGGUUCUCUGGGAAUGACCUGACGCUGAGGAGCGAAAGUGUGGGGGAGCGAACAGGAUU